rnacentral:rRNA from 1 species
UACGUAGGGUGCCAGCGUUGUUCGGAAUUACUGGGCGUAAAGGGUUCGUAGGCGGUGCGGCAAGUUGGGAGUGAAAUCUCUGGGCUUAACCCAGAGGCUGCUUCCAAAACUGCUGUGCUUGAGUGUGGGAGAGGCGCGUGGAAUUGCAGGUGUAGCGGUGAAAUGCGUAGAUAUCGUAAGGAAGACCAGUGGCGAAGGCGGGUCUCUGGACAGUUCCUGACGCUGAGGCACGAAGGCCAGGGGAGCAAACGGG